GCGCGCGUGCGCACUUGUCCGUCAGCCUUCGGUUGGGACCCGGAGGCCGAAGCGCCUGUCUCGGUGGCGGCGCUGCUGCGUUUCAAGGCCUUCAGGGCGAUUGCAAAGGGUGUGGGAUUGUGCGCGCUUAAAGGGUUCGUUCGCUGAGGUGGCUGGUUGGUUUUUCAGAAAUAAUAUGUAUUAAGACGUGAGAAGACUGUGACUAAAUGGACAUCAUACCUUUAAAAUCAGAGGGAACCCCCAGCCUGUUGGCCAAACUUGGCUUACUGGGCCUACGAGGCUGCCUUUCAGAAACCACUCACACCUGCCAUCAUAUGUGACAUAAGGUGUGGUGGGGACUGAGAUGCCGCUGCAGAAAUCAGCCUCCCCUCCCAGCCUUUGUGCCUUUGUAGAAGAUACCUUGGGAUGUAGGGAAAGAACACUGAUAUAUACCAGGGGAUGAAGAGAGAAGAUGACGGCUUUUACUUUUAAUAAUAGACUGGAAGUAUUUCACACUGUUCCCUAGUAGCCUGCAUUACCUCAAUGCAUUCCCACCAAUAUCCCACUCUUAAUGCCAAGGUAUUGCAGAUACAUGAAAUAGAGGUUACCAUACCUGGUACUCAGAUACUCAAAAGAAUUAUGUAGGACCCUCCUGCCAAAUUUUGACCACAGCAAGAAACCUAUUUGUUCUACAAUUGUUACAUGCCCACAUGUUGGCAUUUUGGCCUCCUCUCCCAAGAAUCUCAUCAUUUGGGAAUUUCAGCAUAACUAAUGCCACUGUACAAUGCUCUUACUUACUAAUACCAAUUUUAGCCAGGAGAGAAUACUAGGGUAUAUGGGUUAGUAGUUUUCUUCAAUAAGACUUAACUUUGAGUCACAUUUCCCUUGUCUUCAUAUUUCUCAUAAGGGCUCGUGGUAACUACAGCUUAUGGCUUUUCUUCUUCCUAUUAUAUGUUCUCCCUUGUUUGAGCUGUCUAACGGUGGUUGUAUAGUGAAGAUGCUUAAAAGGAAGUAAGGAACCACCUUAAUCUAAGCUAUGUUUAUGGUGAGCCUCUCUCUCAGAGCUCAUGUACAUGUGCCAAAUUAUCUGAAUGAUGCUGCACAAGUCUGCCUAGCAAAGAUGACACAAUACAACUUGAUGUUACAUAUGGGAUGCCAAUGGGUAUGUACAAAGGUGUCACGCCGACAAAUGAAAAUGAAUUUCUUUUUUAAACUUGGUAUGAACAGUCUGCUACAUCUAUAUGACAGGCACUUCGGUAUUCUUAGUAUACUUGAAGGGCACAUGGGAAUCUCUUCUGUGCAAGCUCAACUGAAUGGUUCUUGUGCAGGAGGCGUUACCGUUGGAUUAAUCCAAUUGUCUAAGCGAGAAUUAAGGUUAUGUAAGUUUAAUUAUAAAGCUAGUAUUCCAGGAGUUUAUUUACCCAUAAACAUUAUUUUGUAGUCAGAAGCUACCCCAAGAGAAUCAACUAAUGAUAAAUUGUUAUUUUGUUUUUAAAAAGCAAUUGCAUAUUUACCCAAGAUUGUGAGGCUACUGUCUGCAGAGGAAGUGUACUGUUUCUUGGGUUAAACCACAAAAAUAGACACUUUUGUUAAAAACCAUCUGAGAAAGCUUUCCAAAAAAAGGAAGCAAUAGAUAUAAUCAAUGCCCCAUUGAUUCUGUUCUGAAAGUAACAAUGAAUAAAAUGAAGCAAAACGUUCACACUCAAAACA